rnacentral:rRNA from 1 species
CCCUUAGAUGUUCUGGGCCGCACACGCGCUACACUGAAGGAGGCAGCGUGUACUCCUGGAUCGAAAGAUUUGGGUAACCCGCGAAUCUCCUUCGUGCUAGGGAUUGAGGUUUGCAAUUAUCCUUCAUGAACGAGGAAUUCCCGGUAAGUGCAAGUCAUAAGCUUGCGCUGACUACGUCCCUGCCCUUUGUACACACCGCCCGUCGCUACUACCGAUUGAAUGAUUUAGUGAGGACUUCGGACUGGGACCGAUGCGGCUUUCGGGCUGCGUCGGUAUUCUGGAAAGAUGUCCAAACUGUAUCAUUUAGAGGAAGUAAAAGUCGUAACA